rnacentral:rRNA from 1 species
GGGAAUCUUGCGCAAUGGGCGAAAGCCUGACGCAGCGACGCCGCGUGAGCGAUGAAGGCCCUCGGGUUGUAAAGCUCUGUGGGGAGAGAAGAAUAAGGCUUGGCUAAUAUCCAAGCUGAUGACGGUAUCUCCUUAGCAAGCACCGGCUAACUCUGUGCCAGCAGCCGCGGUAAGACAGAGGGUGCAAACGUUGUUCGGAAUUACUGGGCGUAAAGCGCGUGUAGGCGGCCCUGUGUGUCGGAUGUGAAAUCCCGCGGCUCAACCGUGGAAGUGCAUUCGAAACUGCAGGGCUAGAGUUCUGGAGAGGAAGGCGGAAUACUGGGUGUAGAGGUGAAAUUCGUAGAUAUCCAGUGGAACACCGGUGGCGAAGGCGGCCUUCUGGACAGUGACUGACGCUGAAACGCGAAAGCGUGGGGAGCAAAC